GGGUCCAAUCAGAGCUGCCACUGCCAGCCUAUGCCAGAGCCACAGCAACGAGGGAUCUGAGCCAUGUCUGCGACCUACACCACAGCUCAUGGCAAUGCCAGAUCCUUAACUCAAUGAUGGAGGCCAGGGAUGGAACCCGUGUCCUCAUGGAUAUUAGUCGGGUUCACUACAACUGAGCCACAACAGGAAUUCCUAAAUUUUUUUAAAAAUUAAAAAAAUCCUCCCCUCCAUUCUUUUAGGUGCAGAUACUAAGGAUCAGAGAGGUUAAGCAACUUGUCCCAUGUCUCUAAGUUCCUAAUUGGCAGGACCUGAUUUCGACCUUUCCUGCCACAAGGUCGAAAGACUAAGAUGUCUUCUAGGAAAUUCAUUUCCAGAAAAUACAUUCUUUCAUGGGAAAGGUGGUUAGAGAUUAGUACACUGGGUCUAAUUAGAUAAUAGGUGUCCUGUAUUUACUCUUCAUAGAAAAUCAACAAAAGUAGUGAUCAAGGUUGAAGAUCCAUCAGUAGAAAGGAGAGGAGAAUCAUUUUAAAAAAUGGUUAUUGCCAAGGGGGAGGGCGGAGGGAGCGGGAUGGACUGGGAAUUUGGGGUCAGUAGAUGCAAACCCUUACAUUUAAGAUGGAGAGACAACAAGGUCCUACUGUAUAACACAGGGAACUCCUUCCAAUCCCCUGGGAUAGAUCAUGAUGGAGAAGAAUAUUAAAAAGAAUGCAUAUAGGAGUUCCCUCUGUGGCGCAAUGGGACCUGUGGGAUCUGCAGUGUCUCUGCAGUGCCAGGAUGCAGGUUCAAUCCCUAGCCUGACACAGUGGAGUAACAAAUCCAGCAGUAGGUCACAACUUCAGCUUGGAUCUGCUCCCUGGCCCAGGAACUCCACAUGCCAUGGGAUGGCCCAAAAAAGGAAAAAAAAGAAUGUGUGUGUGUGUGUGUGUGAGAGUCACUUUGCUAUGCUGCAGAAAUUGGCACAACACUGUGAAUCAACUGUAACUAAAAAAAUUUUAAGGAGUUCGUGUUGUGGCGCAGCAGAAAUGAAUUCAACCAGAAACCAUGAGGUUGUGGGUUCGAUCCCUGGCCUCACUCAGCGGCUUAAGGAUCCGGCGUUGCCGUGAGCUGUGGUGUAGGCCUGCGGCUACAGCUCCGAUUAGACCCCUAGCCUGGGAACUUCCAUAUGCUGUGGGUGCAGCCCUAAAAAGACAAAAAGGAAAAAAAAUUUUUUUAAUGGAUACUGUACAAUAUAUAGUGUACAUAUAUUUCUGUAACAAAGUAUUUAUUAAGGAAUUCAAAUUUAAGGAGAACAAUUUUGCCACCCUAAUCAUCUAUUUGGACGGUACUUUCUAAAACCAGGGCAAAUUUACAGCUGGGCUGCAGUAUUUGCAGGGCCACCAUGGAAGGGGGGGCAACACCGAAUCAAGACCCUUGCCACUCAGGAGUUGUCCACCCCCUGACUGCUUUUCAGAAAUGCAUAUUCUCAGGCCUCUCUCCAGACCUACCGAAACAGAAUCUGCAUUUUCACAGGAUGCCCAGGAAGUUUAAGGAGUUCCCUGCUCCAGAUGGAUUUUUUUCCCUGGUACUUUCCCUUCCAUCUUGGAUAAUGUUCUCUGAGUCUAUGAAAAUCAGUCACAAAGUAGGUCAUGCCAUACGCUCUAGAAGAGUGUUUUAUAUCAAAACAACAUUUACUAUCUCUUUACCUGGAUUUAUUUUUACUUCAACUUCAUCUAGUAACUCCUUUUGAAUAGAUUUUAGGGAGAUCUAAGGUCAUACAAGGCAAAGCGGAAAUAAUGGGGAAAAGAAGAGGGAAGAAAAGGCAGGUGCCAUGGUCUCCCGACGGCACAGACCCACCAUGCAAAACCCUUGACGUGUUACUGAAUUUCAGCACAGGUCAGGUGCAAAGCCCAUUACCUGACACCCUGACUGGGUGGUCUGCAUUUUGAACGACGGCCCCUCCCAUCUGGAACCCUUUGCUAUUUUGCAAACCUUUCAAUGGCUCUGCUGAAAGCAAUGAAACAACAGCUGGUGAAUAAUCUCAUUUCAUAUUAAUAGAGCAGUGUUGACCCAUCUAGGCCCCUUAGUACUUUACAAAACAGGACAUCCUUUCUUUCCCAGGGCAAGGAAGGAAAGCCUCAGCCACACUGCACAAGUAAGGGCCACUGCAGAAUGAGGGGCAGAAAGAGCCCUUUUCCUGCAGACAGAACCCACUGGACUCUUUCAGAUGAAAUUCCAGUUAGGUUGAGGAGGAUGGGAGGGAAUAUCUGCAUUACAGCACCAGACUUUUACCUACGCUAAGAAAUAGCCACAACAGACUAAGAGGAUUCUUGUUCCAAGGCUGCCUCAGUUUUCUUUAUGUGAAGCUCUUUCUGUGAAAGCAUGAUAGAGGCGUCACAGUUCGGUGACAAUCCUAAAGGAUAAAUCUGGGCUAUUUUUAAUAUCAGGGCUAGCUGGUGGUUGCACAUGAGUGGAGUCAAAUAAAACAGAACGUGACAACACCGCUCGUUAAUCAGUGCUCCUGCCUGGGCCAGUAGCGCUUUCAACAGUCUAGAGAAUUGCAACAGAAUAAAAAUAAAAUAAUCUGUGGUUUUGAGGUACUUCAUUUUGCUGGAGGAUUUAUUCAAGACAAAAGACUAGGAUUGUAGGUACAACCUACUAAGAUACAAGCAUUAAUGAUAUAUACCGUGGCCUAUUAUUUUUAUCAUUGACAAAUACAGGGUGGGAAAGCUAAAAUGUUCUGAUUAAGCAACACUUCUGGAGGUCUUGUCAAAAAAACCCCCCCACACACACACAGGAGAAAAGCAAUGCUUUUGUUAACAUUAUUUAACAUGUACUAAAGAUGAAUUGGGAAUUCCUGCACCAAUUCUUUUCACGUGGAAUAGGAAGAAGUUGCUAGAAGGGAGUUGUUAGGUGGAUCUUCUGCAUGCCACCAGAAUAGUUAAGCUAUUCUAGGGCCAGGCACAGAAGCCUCACCAGAGGGAACGAAGGAGAAUUGGUGGACAUUUCUUAGAACAGCAGUUCCUGACCUUUACCCUUUGUUUAGGUCAAGGACUCUGUGAUGAUUAAUUUUAUGCCUACACUUGACUGAGCCGGAUCACCCAGAUAUGUGAUCAAAUGUUAUUCUGGAUGUUUCCAUGAGGGUGUUUUUGGAUAAGAUUAGCAUUUAAAUAAGUGGACUUUGAGUAAAGCAGAUGGCCCUCUGUUAUGUGGGUGGGCUCAUCCAGUCAGCAGAAAGCCUGAAUAGAACAAGACUGACCUCCCCCAAGAGCCUCUGGACUUGAACCAUAGUAUCAGCUCUUCCUGGAUCUCCAGCCUGCCAGCUCUCCCUGAAGAUUCUGGACUUGUGUGAGCCAAUUCCUUAAAAUAAAUUUCUAUAUCUGAAUCUUUAUCUAUAUAUCCUAUGGUUCUGUUUCUCUGGGGAACACUGAGUAAUAUAGACCCCUUCUUGAAUUUUUAGGAGGAAUAUUUAAUAGAUGCCUUCUGUAUGCCAAACUACGGACCUUUUCCCAAAAAAAACUGCACAAAAAUGGAAACUUUACUUAUGGUCUCCAAGGAAUCACCAAAUCCUUGAAGCACAUCAAUGGAUUCACUCUCU
rnacentral:lncRNA from 1 species